rnacentral:misc_RNA from 1 species
UCAACAAACGUGAGAAUAUCUGACUAAUAAUAUAACUAUCACAAUAUAUUUUCAUUAAGUUUUCUGCUUUCAUUGGAGAUAUAUGGAGUGGAACGUACAAUUCAGCAAAUUGAAGGCUGUGGAAGGACUAUUCCUUGCAACUUUAAGUGUAGCAGAAUCACUACCCCAUGAGAAGGGAUUCCAUCAGAAAAAUCCAGUAUCCAAUAAAGUUGCAGAUUUUUAGCCCAAUUUCUUAUGAUUUGUACUUGUAUCAUGCGCUUGAGAGAUGUAUGAGUUCAAGUGGAUUAUGAUGAAGACAGCUCUUCACGCUUAAUAGACAUUACCUUGUUAUGCUUAUGAAUUUGCAUAAAAGGAUGGGUUCUUAU